UACAGAGGGUGCGAGCGUUUGUCCGGAAUCACUGGGCGUAAAGGGCGCGUAGGUGGCGCUGCAAGUCGGUGGUGAAAGCUCGUCGCUUAACGACGAGUCGGCCAUCGAAACUGCAGGGCUGGAGCACUGUAGGGGCUAAUGGAAUUCCGGGUGUAGCGGUGGAAUGCGUAGAGAUCCGGAAGAACACCAGUGGCGAAGGCGGUUAGCUGGGCAGUUGCUGACACUGAGGCGCGACAGCGUGGGGAGCAAACAGG
rnacentral:rRNA from 1 species